rfam:Cephalotus follicularis DNA, scaffold: scaffold452, isolate: St1.
AAACCAUGAUGAGGACACUCUAAAAGAAGGUCUUUAAAACGUUCCAUACACCUAGAAAAUGAUUCAUUGGGCUUUUGACGAAAACUGGAGAAUGUCGUUCCUAAGUUU